rnacentral:rRNA from 1 species
UACACUCCUGCGGGAGGCAGCAGUGGGGAAUUUUGGACAAUGGGCGAAAGCCUGAUCCAGCAAUGCCGCGUGAGUGAAGAAGGCCUUCGAGUUGUAAAGCUCUUUUGUCAGGGAAGAAACGGUGAGAGCUAAUAUCUCUUGCUAAUGACGGUACCUGAAGAAUAAGCACCGGCUAACUACGUGCCAGCAGCCGCGGUAAUACGUAGGGUGCAAGCGUUAAUCGGAAUUACUGGGCGUAAAGCGUGCGCAGGCGGUUUUGUAAGUCUGAUGUGAAAUCCCCGGGCUCAACCUGGGAAUUGCAUUGGAGACUGCAAGGCUAGAAUCUGGCAGAGGGGGGUAGAAUUCCACGUGUAGCAGUGAAAUGCGUAGAUAUGUGGAGGAACACCGAUGGCGAAGGCAGCCCCCUGGGUCAAGAUUGACGCUCAUGCACGAAAGCGUGGGGAGCAAACAGGAUUAGAAACCCGGGUAGUCCCAUGA